rnacentral:tRNA from 1 species
CGCGGGAUAGAGUAGUGGCUACUCAUCGGGCUCAUGUCCCGGUACACGCAGGUUCGAGUCCUGCUCCCGCAA